AAAAGCCUCUAAGCAUCAGGUAACAUCAAAUCGUACCCCAAACCGACACAGGUGGUCAGGUAGAGAAUACCAAGGCGCUUGAGAGAACUCGGGUGAAGGAACUAGGCAAAAUGGUGCCGUAACUUCGGGAGAAGGCACGCUGAUAUGUAGGUGAAGCGACUUGCUCGUGGAGCUGAAAUCAGUCGAAGAUACCAGCUGGCUGCAACUGUUUAUUAAAAACACAGCACUGUGCAAACACGAAAGUGGACGUAUACGGUGUGACGCCUGCCCGGUGCCGGAAGGUUAAUUGAUGGGGUUAGCGGCAACGCGAAGCUCUUGAUCGAAGCCCCGGUAAACGGCGGCCGUAACUAUAACGGUCCUAAGGUAGCGAAAUUCCUUGUCGGGUAAGUUCCGACCUGCACGAAUGGCGUAAUGAUGGCCAGGCUGUCUCCACCCGAGACUCAGUGAAAUUGAACUCGCUGUGAAGAUGCAGUGUACCCGCGGCAAGACGGAAAGACCCCGUGAACCUUUACUAUAGCUUGACACUGAACAUUGAGCCUUGAUGUGUAGGAUAGGUGGGAGGCUUUGAAGUGUGGACGCCAGUCUGCAUGGAGCCGACCUUGAAAUACCACCCUUUAAUGUUUGAUGUUCUAACGUUGGCCCGUAAUCCGGGUUGCGGACAGUGUCUGGUGGGUAGUUUGACUGGGGCGGUCUCCUCCUAAAGAGUAACGGAGGAGCACGAAGGUUGGCUAAUCCUGGUCGGACAUCAGGAGGUUAGUGCAAUGGCAUAAGCCAGCUUGACUGCGAGCGUGACGGCGCGAGCAGGUGCGAAAGCAGGUCAUAGUGAUCCGGUGGUUCUGAAUGGAAGGGCCAUCGCUCAACGGAUAAAAGGUACUCCGGGGAUAACAGGCUGAUACCGCCCAAGAGUUCAUAUCGACGGCGGUGUUUGGCACCUCGAUGUCGGCUCAUCACAUCCUGGGGCUGAAGUAGGUCCCAAGGGUAUGGCUGUUCGCCAUUUAAAGUGGUACGCGAGCUGGGUUUAGAACGUCGUGAGACAGUUCGGUCCCUAUCUGCCGUGGGCGCUGGAGAACUGAGGGGGGCUGCUCCUAGUACGAGAGGACCGGAGUGGACGCAUCACUGGUGUUCGGGUUGUCAUGCCAAUGGCACUGCCCGGUAGCUAAAUGCGGAAGAGAUAAGUGCUGAAAGCAUCUAAGCACGAAACUUGCCCCGAGAUGAGUUCUCCCUGACUCCUUGAGAGUCCUGAAGGAACGUUGAAGACGACGACGUUGAUAGGCCGGGUGUGUAAGCGCAGCGAUGCGUUGAGCUAACCGGUACUAAUGAACCGUGAGGCUUAACCUUACAACGCCGAAG
rnacentral:rRNA from 1 species